ACAGUAGCAUAGGAGACGCG
rnacentral:misc_RNA from 1 species